GUUAAAAAUGAAAAUAAAGCACGAUUCUUCUGGUGUGAACUGUUGAAGACAUGCUAUGUCAAAAGAUUACUUGUGACGACGACUCUUCCAUGCAAGUUAAUAGGGACGUAGCUUUCGCCCGAAAGGUGGAAUUGAACCACUCUGCCGCUAAGCAGCUACAGGUUUGAAGCCUGCACCCCGGACCACCGAGGCUCAUCCGGGCAUUUGAAUCAUGGGGAACAGGACCAAUAUAUAGCUCCCACCAGGCGAGACUCUUCUAAGUCAGGGUUUCACUUCAAUGCCCACCCCGUGAUUGGUUUCAGGUGGUUCCUCCUUUAACGGAGAGCAGCACAUACUCCCAGCGCAGGCCUUUCCACAGGUGAGGCUGCAGAUCAGAGGAGGAGGCACCGAGGGG